rnacentral:rRNA from 1 species
UACGAAGGGGGCUAGCGUUGCUCGGAAUCACUGGGCGUAAAGCGCACGUAGGCGGAUUGUUAAGUCAGGGGUGAAAUCCUGGAGCUCAACUCCAGAACUGCCUUUGAUACUGGCGAUCUCGAGUCCGGGAGAGGUGAGUGGAACUGCGAGUGUAGAGGUGAAAUUCGUAGAUAUUCGCAAGAACACCGGUGGCGAAGGCGCACAUCUGGCCCGAUACUGACGCUGAGGCGCUAAAGCUAGGGGAGCAAACGGG